UACGGAGGAUGCAAGUGUUAUCCGGAUUCAUUGGGUUUAAAGGGUGCGUAGGCGGAAUAUUAAGUCAGUGAUGAAAUCCUGCAGCUUAACUGUAGAACUGUUAUUGAUACUGGUAUUCUUGAAUGCAGUUGAGGUAGGCGGAAUGUGUAAUGUAGCGGUGAAAUGCUUAGAUAUUACACAGAACACCGAUUGCGAAGGCAGCUUACUAAGCUGUGAUUGACGCUGAGGCACGAAAGCGUGGGGAGCAAACAGGAUUAGAUACCCCCGUA
rnacentral:rRNA from 1 species